UAAAAGAAAAAAAAAGCUAUUAAAAAGGCAAUUGCCUUCUAAUAAGUAUUCCGAAAACCUAAAACCAGGAUAUAAUCAUCUAACAUGCGAUGAUUACACUUUACAUAUUUGUUGUGGAGUUUCAUGCACCAAUGAAAUGUUUGGUUGUGUUAUAGUUAUGUUAUGUAUGUUUAUGUGUUAUAUUUUGAUUUAUAAAGCAAGACUAAUUAGCUUAUGUUUUAUGCGUUCUAUAUUAUUCGUUCUAAACUUUGGCCUUCUUAAAGAGGAUGCAGCUUGCAUAAAGAACUAAAUAUAGGUAUGUUUUGAAAAGUUCACCAUAAAAUGUUGUACUAGUGACAGACAUGAAAAAUGUCCCUAAAAUUGUGCUGUACUCACAAGCCUUGACAUGACAUUAAAACCCCUUAAGGACACAUGACGGAAAUAUACUGUCAUGAUCACCUUUUAUUUCUGAAGCUGUGUCCUUAAGGGGUUGAUCCACAUUGUAAUAACAACUUCAUAACUCUCUGAAAAGCUGUGUGAGAGUUUACGUUUUCAUAUUAAACUGUUUAAGCAAAAAAUGGACAGCCAAAAAAUGAAUAUGGGGCACGAAGGGUUCAGAAAAGUGCACUUCAGCACAGACCAGGCAAGUGGGAACAAAUCUUUGGUAUCAUAUGUGAUUAUUUUUUUUCAAUCACAAAUUGAAAACUGAAGUGAGGUAGCCUUUUCCAUGAGGUUCUCACUAUAAAUGUCUUGUAAGUCUGUUCGUUUUGGUUUCACACCUGGAGCAUCACAGAAGC